AUCUCUGUCUCAGCUCCACCCACCAGUGAAGCUACACCUUCUACCUCAGCCUCCCUCCAGGUCAGGCUGGUCUGCCACCUGGUGGUCUUCUGUCCGUACUUCAUCUCCACUCUCCUCCUGGUGUCUCUAUAACAGCACAAAGUCUCAGGAAGUGAUGUGCCAGUGUCUCCAGCAAUGACUCCACCCAUCCAGGCUGAGCAGAGGUUGAAUGAUGUUUAUG